GACGAACGCUGGCGGCGUGCUUAACACAUGCAAGUCGAACGGAAAGGCCCUGCUUUUGUGGGGUGCUCGAGUGGCGAACGGGUGAGUAACACGUGAGUAACCUGCCCUUGUCUUUCGGAUAACUUCAGGAAACUGGGGCUAAUACCGGAUAGGAGCUCCUGCUGCAUGGUGGGGGUUGGAACGUUUCGGCGGUUGCGGAUGGACGCGCGGCUUAUCAGCUUGUUGGUGGGGUAGUGGCUUACCAAGGCUUUGACGGGUAGCCGGCCGGAGAGGGUGACCGGCCACAUUGGGACUGAGAUACGGCCCAGACGCCUACGGGAGGCAGCAGUGGGGAAUAUGGCACAAUGGGCCGAAGCCUGAGGCAGAAACGUCGCGUGCGGGAUGACGGCCUUCGGGUUGUAAACCGCUUUCGCCUGUGACGAAGCGUGAGUGACGGUAAUGAGUAAAGAAGCACCGGCUAACUACGUG
rnacentral:rRNA from 1 species